GGUCCGGCCUUCCGGCGGAGCCCUGCCGGGCCGGGACGAACCUCCUUCCCGCGGGCCGGCGGCGCUCCGCUCCGGGUCGGGCCCGCUCCGCGCGGGGAGCAGCUGCGCGGCUCCGGGCCCGUCAGGCGGCUCCUGGAUGGAGCGGUCGGUCUGCGUCCUUCGAAGCCGAGCCCCGAGGACCGCUUCCUCGGAAAGCUGUCGAGACACGUUUUGAUAAACGCUCUGUGAAGUACCCGACCCGUGUCCAAAAGAAGGUCGCUAUCAGUCACCAGCCUCGCUUUUUACUUACCUGCACCACACACGUAGCGCAGGCUUUUGAAAAAAUAAUUGUUCCUGGGAGAACUUGAUGAUAAACUGCAUUGUAUGCCGGGUUUAGACGGCUGCCCCGAAGAUGAGGUGGCUGUGAUGGACUCACGCCUCACACCACGAGUAACACCCGUCCCUCGCUGUGCCUCUCCUGAACUGUGGCAUUUUUCUCUAUCUGAGAUGAAAAACUGAAAUCUUCAUAGGUAACACACGUUGCCGUGAUGCCGGUGUUUUGUUUUCAAAGCCCUACAAGCCACCACUAGAGAUCAGAAGGCUGUUUCUUGAUGAGAAAAAAUCACUUUUGAAUACCUGACCCUGCAGUCACAGGGGAUUUCAGGAGCUGAGGGGCUGGGCCCAGGGCUAUGAUAACCUUUUCCCAUAUCAGAAGGGUCGAGGCACCUGAGACGAGAAAGCUGUGUUGCCGAACCAUUUGCUCUGAAGGAAUGCAGAGAAGGCUUAAGAAUUUUAAUCACUGCCUAAAAACUGCAGCAUGCGAGUCCAAGAAGUUAACCUGUUUUCCUCAGCUUGCUUAUUCAACACAAUUGCAUCUGGACAGCUGAGAAACUAUGAAUGGCUGCUUGCUCUCACUGCAGUACCGCACAGAGUAACAGUCCGGUGGAGGGCACAGUUCAAACACCCCUCAGACAUAGCAUUAGCGCAUUCCUACUCUGCACUGCUUUUCAAGUUCAUUCAUGUCCUUCCAACAACAACUCUGCCAACUUGCAAAGCAACCCCUGCAUCCUCAGAUCUCAAAAUAGGGUAUAGGCUUUUGUGCUGCACAACAGUGACAGCAGCCCACCUUGUUUUGAUGUCUCAGAAAAUGAGGUUCAGCCACCUGCCUGCUGAAUAAAUGUUAUACUAUUAGAUGAGAAAAGUCUCACGCUCAAUU